GGGGUUGAUUGGGGUGCUGGUGCCCCUCACAGUCUUCAAAACUGCUCGGGAGGCGCGUGACGUCUCCGGUGGGUUCGAUUCCCACGCAAUCCCGCCA
rnacentral:tRNA from 1 species